CGGGCUGAAUGCUUGGUGUCCGGCUGGUUGGGGGUUGGGGCGUCCCGGGGUGGGAGGUAGUGGGAGGCUUUGGGUCCUGGGGGACGGUUCCUUGAAGGGGACAGUGGGGACCCAGCCCCUCCUGUCCUCUCUGCUUCCCUGACGUGGUGAGCUGUGGCUCCGCGUCACCACCUGCUCCUGCUGCCUCACCACAGGCCAGAGCCACAGGGCCAGGGGCCACGGAUUGGAACCCUUAAACUGUGAGGCAGAUGAACCUUUUCUCUUUAUAAGCUGAUGGCCUCGGGUAAUUGAUCACAGUAACGGCGGCUGCCUGCCACAGAGGCCUUCUGAACAUGGCUGGAUUGUGUCCGUCUCAGGGUCGGGCCCCUGGACAUGGCCUCCGGCCUCUCCCUUCCCUGGCCCCAGCCGUCCUCUCACUAUUCCUCAAAGGCACCGGGUCACCUGGAAUGCUGUGUCCACUGAGCUGCCGGGUCCAGGCCUCAGAACACUGCCCAGGGUGGCCCGUCCAGAUCCUGGCUCAAAUGCCAUCUCUUCAGAGAGGCCACCUGGGAAGGCGGUCCGUGGUGGGGACGUCCUGGGCUCUGCAGGGCGUCCAGUAGCACCCUGGCCUCAACCCACCCGAUGCCAGGAGCAAACCUGUCCCUGGUCACAGCAGCCCAGGCCACCUCGCAUGGAGCAAAACCACCUUUGGCGAGAGGCACCUCACUUUCUUUUUCUUUUGGUGGCACUGGGCUUUGCACAUGCCAGACCGGCGCUGUGGGCUCAUCUGGUGCCCGGGCCUUUUUAUUCUUUAUUGGAGACACGGUCUUCCCGGGUGGCCGAGGCUGGCCUCAAACUUGCGAUCCUCCUGCCCCAGACUCCUGAGUCGCUGGGAUUACAGACGAGCGCCACCCACCCGGACAGAGUCACCUCAUUUUAGAAAGCAGCUCUAUGUCCCACUGUGUGGACACACGCGGCGUCCUGAGCUGCCCACGGUGGCUUCUGGGUUUCCUCACGGUUGGGAAUAAAGCAGUUUAGAUCUGCGCGUGUGACGUGGGGUCUCAUGUCGCAAAGUCCCCGGACAGAAGUUGGCCAGAUUCGGGGGAGACCCAGCAUGGGGUGCAGAGGCUUCUUGGGCCAGCACCCCGA
rnacentral:lncRNA from 1 species